rnacentral:rRNA from 1 species
UACGUAGGCAGCGAGCGUUGUUCGGAAUUACUGGGCGUAAAGCGUGCGCAGGCGGUUCGUUGUGUCGGCGGUGAAAGCCCCGGGCUUAACCUGGGAAUGGCCGUUGAAACUGGCGAACUGGAGUCUGGCAGAGGGGGGUAGAAUUCCACGUGUGAGCAGUGAAAUGCGUUAGAGAUGUGGAGGAACACCGAUGGCGAAGGCAGCCCCCUGGGUCAAG